rnacentral:rRNA from 1 species
AUUGAACGCUGGCGGCAGGCCUAACACAUGCAAGUCGAGCGGAUGAAGGGAGCUUGCUCCUGGAUUCAGCGGCGGACGGGUGAGUAAUGCCUAGGAAUCUGCCUGGUCGUGGGGGAUAACGUCCGGAAACGGGCGCUAAUCUCGCAUACGUCCUGAGGGUGAAAGUGGGGGUUCUUCGGACCUAACGCUAUCUGAUGAGCCUAGGUCGGAUUAGCUAGUUGGUGGGGUAAAGGCCUACCAAGGCGACGAUCCGUAACUGGUCUGAGAGGAUGAUCGGUCACACUGGAACUGAGACACGGUCCAGACUCCUACGGGAGGCAGCAGUAGGGAAUCUUGGACAAUGGGCGAAAGCCUGAUCCAGCCAUGCCGCGUGUGUGAAGAAGGUCUUCGGAUUGUAAAGCACUUUAAGUUGGGAGGAAGGUCAGUAAAUUAAUACCUGGCUGUUUUGACGUUACCAAAAGAAAAAGCACCGGCUAACUUCGUG